rnacentral:rRNA from 1 species
AUACGUAGGGUGCAAGCGUUGUCCGGAAUUAUUGGGCGUAAAGAGCUCGUAGGCGGUUUGUCGCGUCUGCUGUGAAAGCCCGAGGCUCAACCUCGGGUCUGCAGUGGGUACGGGCAGACUGGAGUGCGGUAGGGGAGAUUGGAAUUCCUGGUGUAGCGGUGGAAUGCGCAGAUAUCAGGAGGAACACCGAUGGCGAAGGCAGGUCUCUGGGCCGUUACUGACGCUGAGGAGCGAAAGCAUGGGGAGCGAACAGGAUUAGAUACCCUGGUAGUCCAUGCCGUAAACGUUGGGCGCUAGAUGUGGGGACCAUUCCACGGUUUCCGUGUCGUAGCUAACGCAUUAAGCGCCCCGCCUGGGGAGUACGGCCGCAAGGCUAAAACUCAAAUGAAUCGACGGGG